rnacentral:rRNA from 1 species
GUCUAUGGCCUUACCACCCUGAACAUGCCUGAUCUUGUCUGAUCUUGAAAGCUAAGCAGGGUCGGGCCUGGUUAGUACUCUGAUGGGAGAAAAAGUAAGAUAGAUA